rnacentral:lncRNA from 1 species
CAAGUCCUGGAUCCCGGCGGCGAGUGCUACUUCAACCCUCAGGAGCAGAUGAAACCAAAUAACGAUGAUCAUUUGUACGAUGCUUGAGUGCCGGAGAUAAAUUGUGUUGUAAAUACUUUGUCCGUGAAGCAUAUGUGUAAAUAUUAUAUUAUGGACCUAUAGAUACAUAUUAUAUAUAUAGUGUUUUAUAGUAUAUUUAUAUGUAAUCCUUUAAAUUAUAUAAAUUAUAGGUGCGUGUUUCAUAAACUACCAGCAAACAAUAUGCAUUCAAAAAUAACAAUAACAUAAUUGUAAACCCUAAAUAGAAAACCAAAUGAAAAGAAAAAGAAAAAAGUCUUUUGUCCCGGUUGGUAGCAACAACCGGGACUAAAAGUGGAGGCCAGGUGGCACACUCUGGCGCACCUUUUAGUCCCGGUUGCUGUAAAGGUGGACCUUUAGUCUCGGUCCACGGAACCGGGACUAAAGGUGGGACAUUUAGUCCCGAAACCUUAGCCCCGGUUACGUAGCCGGGACUAAAGGCACUUACGGCCCGGGGCUAAAGCCCUUCCGUGUACUAGUGUUAGCAAAUAUGCCCGUGCGUUGCUACGGGAGAAUAGCCACGUAGUUGGGAACUGAUAUACUUCUUCCUAGCUCCUUGCCAGCGUCGUCUCCACCACUACUCUCGCUUGCGCACACUGCCUCAUGCACCACUUAGUCGCCGCUCUUUCCAUUGGGCUUCUAGCACCCACAGUUAGCAACUCACACAUAUUACUGCCGCAUCAGCUUCCCACACCACCCUACCCUAACCACAAGGAUCCUGUCAACUACUCCGGCACGACACCCUAACUGCCAGCCCAACGUAAACUACAAUCUCUCACUGCCACAUCAUCUCGGGCACCAUCACCGCCAUGUUGCAACCACUAACCCAAACUCUCUUUUACACCUAUCUGUUGGUGAAUUCUCUCCUAGAACCGUGACCCCAAGUGCUAGGUGGCUCUUCUUCCUCUCACUGGGGGCGCGGAUGCACAAUUAAUCCAUCUGAGUUUAUGCUGGGAAAAAUAAAAAUAUAAAAACCAUGAAAAAACAUAUCAAAUAUAGUUGGGAAAAUAAAAUUAUAAAUAUAUUACAAGCAAACUUGCCUGUGCAUUGCAACAGGAGAAAAAACUAUCAAACAUUAAUGGGAAACAACGAUGGGCA